CAAAAUGGCGACGAGUUUCAAGAAAAAAUCCUCUCGAGGAAGGUCUGUUUUUAUACCCGGAACACGGCCUUCUCUACAUAACAACCAACUCCUCGUAUCCACUGGUAUUCCCUCUAUGGAUGCUGUAAUUGGAGGAGGAGUUGCUGUUGGUACCGUAGUUAUGAUUGAGGAAGACAAUUAUGGUUCAUAUGCCAGACAGAUUUUAAAGUAUUUCCUGGCCGAAGGUGUGGUAUCUGGUCAUGGUUUGUUCCUGGCAUCAGCCGAUAUUGAUCCUCAAACUAUUCUAAAGGAUUUGCCACACCCAUUAGAUCAUGGGGAUGAUAAUACAGACUCAACAAACCAGGAAGAUACCAUGAAAAUUGCUUGGAGAUAUCAGCAGAAAAGCAAAGUGCAGUCUAAUCCCUCACACAAUAGAUUUGGUCAUUAUUAUGACUUAAGCAGAGUAAUGGAUGAAAAGAAACUUGAUACUAUCCCAGUAAGGAUGUUCAAUGCUGCAGAAGAAUGCACUUCAGAUAGCCCAAAAAACAGUAGAAGUAAUAGUCUCUAUGAGAAAUUACUAUCAGAGGUCAAUAGCACCAUCACAGAUGGAGGAUACAGUACAACAGCUGCAAAGCAGCAACAAGAACGUAGCAUACUUAGGAUAGCUAUCCACAGCCUUGGCUCACAGCUGUGGGGUGAAGAAUGUGGAGCGACCUGCGUUGACUUUAGUCCAGCAUUGCCAUGGUUUCUCUACUCCCUUAGAGCCACCUUAAGAUCGUCAUUAGUUGUCUGUAUGGUCACCAUACCAACACAUGUUUUUCAGGAUUCUGGGUUUACACAUCGGAUAGAGAGAUUGUGUGAUACUGUGCUAGCGCUUGAAUCCUUUGCCGGCUCUGACAAAGAAACCAAUCCACUUUAUAGAGAUUAUCAUGGUUUAUUCAACAUUGUUCGUCUACCUCGUCUGAACACUUUAACAACUCACAUGCCAGACAGUCUGGAUCUCGCCUUCAAACUCAAAAGAAAGAAGUUCUCUAUUGAGACCCUGCAUCUUCCUCCUGACUUGUCUGAAUCAGUAAGUAGGAAUCAAGAAGAAGCAAUCCGUCCCAAACCAGGUGCUUUAGCGUGUCAAACCGGAUCAGGAAACAGUAAACUGGACUUCUAAACCAUGAGAAAUAUAGGCUAGUAACAACUAUUGUUUGAACUACGAAGGAUAUUGCGACGAUGGACACACAAAAGCAAGUGUGGAUGGCAGUCAGGAUAUGAUCCCACAUGGGGAAGAAUGAGGUUCAU
rnacentral:misc_RNA from 1 species